CUUUUUCCUUGAAUGCUCUCCUCAGUGCGUUGGAUGCCUCUUCGUCCAAGCAAUGCAAUGCGUAGCAGUGGACGUAGUGCCUCAUUUUCGGCUUGUUUAUGUAGCUUGCUCCUGCCUUCUUCGCAUAUCUGAACACCUGAUAUAUCUUAUUUGUCCUGCAAUCAGGUAUAUUUAUUAUACUGGGCCUUACAAUAGAAGGCCAUGAUGGCUGUCCCAGGACAGGAUAGGACAGGACAAGACCGGCCAGAGCAGAACCAGCCAAGCUCUUGGAACACUGUUAAAGAGCAUGAUAGCAGGAGCCAGCCGGUCCAAGCUUUAGGGUCUCUUGUUUGGAGGAGAAAAAAACAAAAGGUUUCAGGGGUGGAGUGGAAGCACACAUCCGACGGCCUGGAGCACCAGCCACCAGGGCAUGGACCUUGAGAUGCGCUACCACCUCUGCAACACGAAGGAGCCAAGUGUCAAUCGGUUUGGUUCUAGUUUUUCCUUUUAGGUUUCAAUUCAGGAUACAAUAUGUAUAAAAAGGAAAUGGAAACUGAAUUGAAAUGGAAUAAUUUUUAUGACGUCAAA